GCAACUCGCCUACAUGAAGUCGGAAUCGCUAGUAAUCGCGGAUCAGCACGCCGCGGUGAAUACGUUCCCGGGCCUUGUACACACCGCCCGUCACACCACGAGAGUUUNUAACACCCGAAGUCGGUGAGGUAACCUAUUAGGAGCCAGCCGCCUAAGGUGGGAUAGAUGAUUGGGGUGAAGUCGUAACAAGGUACC
rnacentral:rRNA from 1 species